rnacentral:rRNA from 1 species
AUUGAACGCUGGCGGCAGGCUUAACACAUGCAAGUCGAGCGAGCGGCGGACGGGUGAGUAAUAUCUGGGAAACUGCCUGAUAGAGGGGGAUAUCUACUGGAAACGGUAGCUAAUACCGCAUACUAUCAGAUGUGCCCAGAUGGGAUUCGCUAGUAGGUGGGGUAAUGGCUCACCUAGGAGACGAUCCCUCGCUGGUCUGAGAGGAUGACCAGCCAAACUGGGACUGAGACACGGUCCAGAUUCCUACGGGAGGCAGCAGUGGGGAAUAUUGCACAAUGGGCGCAAGCCUGAUGCAGCCAUGCCGCGUGUGUGAAGAAGGCCUUAGGGUUGUAAAGCACUUUCAGCGAGGAGGCGUUACUCGCAGAAGAAGCACCGGCUAACUCCGUGCCAGCAGCCGCGGUAAUAC